rnacentral:tRNA from 1 species
AAGGGAGACCUAAUUCCGGUAGGAGACGAAAAAAAAGUAGUCCCAACCAAGAAUCAAUCCCAAAAGGUCGGAACGAGGUAUGAGGCUUUCAAACUAGGUUCUGGGUUCAUAAAAGACCUGAAUCAGGAACAAGGGCUAUUAGCUCAGGUGGUUAGAGCGCACCCCUGAUAAGGGUGAGGUCCCUGGUUCGAGCCCAGGAUGGCCCACCUGCACAGGUGGCAAAAACAAGAGAAGCUCCGAAUCAGCACCUUAUCUUAUAUACAUAUAUAAGAGAGAAUGCUGGCUCUGAGUAAAGAGUCCAGAGGAACCUUGAAAACUGCAUAGAGCUAGGUGAAAAAGCCAAAAAAGAAGACCGCAA